rnacentral:rRNA from 1 species
UACGGGGGGGGCAAGCGUUGUUCGGAAUUACUGGGCGUAAAGGGCUCGUAGGCGGCCAACUAAGUCAGACGUGAAAUCCCUCGGCUUAACCGAGGAACUGCGUCUGAUACUGGAUGGCUUGAAUCCGGGAGAGGGAUGUGGAAUUCCAGGUGUAGCGGUGAAAUGCGUAGAUAUCUGGAGGAACACCGGUGGCGAAGGCGGCAUCCUGGACCGGUAUUGACGCUGAGGAGCGAAAGCCAGGGGAGCAAACGGG